rnacentral:rRNA from 1 species
GGGGGGGGGGGGGGGGGGGGGGGAGGGAUGGGGGGGGGGGGGGGGACGGGGGGGCGGGCGGGGGGCGGACGGGGGGCGAACGGGUGAGGAAUAGGUGAGGAACCUGGAGUGGAGUCUGGGAUCAGGGUUGGGACCGUCGUCUAGUACCGGAUACGAGGCGGGAGGGGAUGCUUCCCGGGUGGAAAGAACUUCGGAUCGGGCUGAGCGGGCGGCCCAUCAGCUUGUUGGUGAGGUCACGGCUCACCAAGGCGACGACGGGUAGCCGGCCUGAGAGGGUGACCGGCCACACUGGGACUGAGACACGGCCCAGACGCCUACGGGAGACAGCAGUGGGGAAUAUUGCACAAUGGGCGCAAGCCUGAUGCAGCAACGCCGCGUGAGGGACGACGGCCUUCGGGUUGUAAACCUCUUUUAGCAGAGAAGAAGCGAAAGUGACGGUACCUGCAGAAAAAGCACCGGCUAACUACGUG